GGGGUUGUGGCUCAGUGGUAGAGCUCUUGCCUGGCAUGUGUGAUGCACUGAGUUCGAUUCUCAGCACCACA
rnacentral:tRNA from 1 species